rnacentral:rRNA from 1 species
CCUACGGGUGGCAGCAGUGAGGAAUAUUGGUCAAUGGACGCAAGUCUGAACCAGCCAUGCCGCGUGCAGGAAGACGGCCCUAUGAGUUGUAAACUGCUUUUGUACGAGGGUAAAUCGCGACACGUGUGUCGGGUUGAAAGUACCGUACGAAUAAGGAUCGGCUAACUCCGUGCCAGCAGCCGCGGUAAUACGGAGGAUUCAAGCGUUGUCCGGAUUUAUUGGGUUUAAAGGGUGCGUAGGCUGUUUGAUAAGUGAGAGGUGAAAUGCCGGGGCUCAACCCCGGCACGGCCUCUGAUACUGUCUGGCUAGAGUGUAGUUGCGGUAGGCGGAAUGUAUGGUGUAGCGGUGAAAUGCAUAGAGAUCAAGCAGAACACUGAUUGCGAAGGCAGCUUACCAGAC